UGGAUAAUAGUUAAUUCUAUAACUCUUACUUUGCAAGUAAAAAUAAUUUUUUAAAUUUAUCUAA
rnacentral:tRNA from 1 species